ensembl:lncRNA
GCCAGUUGCUUCAUUUGCUAUUAUUUUCUCCCAUUCUGAAGGCUGUCUUUUCACCUGGCUUAUAGUUUCCUUUGUUGUGCAGAAGCUUUUAAUUUUAAUUAGGUCCCAUUUGUUUAUUUUUGCUUUUAUUUCAAAUAUUCUGGGAGGUGGGUCAUAGAGGAUCCUGCUCUGAUUUAUGUUGGGGAGUGUUGUGCCUAUGUUCUCCUCUAGGAGGUUUAUAGUUUCUGGCCUUACGUUUAGAUCUUUAAUCCAUUUUGAGUUUAUUUUUGUGUGCGGUGUUAGAAAGUAUUCUAGUUUCAUUCUUUUACAAGUGGUUGACCAGUUUUCCCAGGACCGCUUGUUAAAGAGAUUGUCUUUUCUCCAUUGUAUAUUCUUACCUCCUUUGUCAAAGAUAAGGUGUCCAUAGGUGUGUUCCACGUCAAAUUUGGAUACCUACUUGAUAAGAACCAUCUCCAAAAUCACCCUAUGGUCAACUUUUACCACUCUCAGCCUCUUCUGAAAUUGGUGCACUGGGCUCCUGUAUCGAAAUGCUUUUUAACUGUAUUUCUUAGGGUAUAUUUGGUGAAAUGCCAUCCAAAGAGGUCGUCCCCAAAUGGCAUUCUGUGUCAGUAAGUCAGGAAAAUGUUGCAAACUACACCUCUUUCUUGUAUGGUUUUUCUAGUAGUCAUGUAUGGAUGUGAGAAUUAGACCAAAAAGAAAGCUGAGUGCCAGAGAAUUGAUGCUUUUGAACUGUGGUGUUGGAGAAGACUCUUGAGAGUCCCUUGGACAGCAAGGAGAUCAAACCAGUCCAUCCUAAAGGAAGCCAGUCCUGAAUAUUCAUUGGAAGGACUGAUGCUGAAGCUGAAGCUCCAAUACUUUGGCCACCUGACGCGAAGAACUGACUCAUUAGAAAAGACCCUGAUGCUGAGAAAGAUUAAAGGCGGGAGAAGAAGGGGAUGAUGGAGAAUCAGAUGAUUGGAUGGCAUUACCAACUUGAUGGACAUGAGUUUGAGCAAGCUCCGGGAGUUGGUGAUGAACAGGGAAGCCUGGUAUGCUGCAGUCCACGGGGUUGCAAAGAGUCAGACAUGACUGAGUGACUGAAAUGAACACCUCUUUCAUAGAGAUUCACAGCAACCACUGGGAUUUUCCCCUCAACUUUAUAGAGGUACAAUUGACAACUACAAAUUGUAUUUUGCCAACAAAGGUCCAUCUAGUCAAGGCUAUGGUUUUUCCUAUGGUCAUGUAUGGAUGUGAGAGUUGGACUGUGAAGAAAGCUGAGCGCCGAAGAAUUGACGCUUUUGAACUGUGGUGUUGGAGAAGACUCUUGAGAGUCCCUUGGUCUGCAAGGAGAUCCAACCAGUCCAUUCUGAAGGAGAUCAGCCCUGGGAUUUCUUUGGAAGGAAUAAUGCUGAAGCUGAAACUCCAGUACUUUGGCCACCUCAUGCGAAGAGUUGAUUCAUUGGAAAAGACUCUGAUGCUGGGAGGGAUUGGGGGGCAGGAGGAAAAGGGGACGACAGAGGAUGAGAUGGCUGGAUGACUCGAAGAACAUGAGUCUGAGUGACCUCUGGGAGUUGGUGAUGGACAGGGAGGCCUGGCGUGCUGCGGUUCAUGGGGUUGCAAAGAGUCGGACAUGACUGAGCAACUGAACUGAACUGAAGUUUAAAAUGUGGUAUUUUCAUUUAUGUGUACAUUAUGAAAUGAUUUCCACACUCAAGCUAACUGACAUAUCCAUCACUUUGCAUCGUUAUCUCUUUUUAUGUGAUGAGGAUCCAAGAUUUCAAGUGUAUAAUAUGGUAAUAUUAACUAUAGUCACCAUGCUAUAUAUUAAUUCUCCACAACUUACUCAUCCUGAAUAACUGAAACUUUGUACCUUUGAACAAGAUCUCUACAUUUUCCCCACCCCAACACCUGGCAACCACCAUUCUGCUUCUUGCUUUAGUAAGUUAAAAUUCUAAGAUAGUGAGGUAAAAGGACAUGUGCGCAUCUCUUCCUGCGAGAGCACCAAAAUCGCAACUAGCUGCUGAACAACCACUGAAAGGAGAAUGCUGGAACCCACCAAAAAAAGAUACCCCACAUCCAAAGACAAAGAAGAAGCCACAGUGAGACAGUAGGAGGGGUGAAAUCACAAUAAAAUCAAAUCCAAUACCCGCCAGGUAGUUGACCCACAAACUGGAGAACAAUAAAACCAAGGAAGUUCUCCCGCUGUUUGAAGGUUCUGAACUCUACAUCAGGCUUCCCAUCCUGAGGAGCUGGCAAAGGGACUGGGAAUCCCCAUGGAAUCUGACCUUGCAGGCCAGCAGGAUUUGAUAGAGGACUUCCACAGUACUGGGGAAAACAGACUCCAGGCUUGGAGGGCACAGACAAAAUCUGUGCACAUCAAGAAGCCCAGAGGAAAGGAGCAGUGAGCCCAUAGGAGACUGAACCAAAACUACCUGCUCGUGCUGGAGGGUCUCCUGUGGAGCUGCGGGUCUGCAGGGGCUCACCGCCGGGCCAGCAGUAGCAGUCCAGGAAGAUCCGCCUUGGCAAAAGCACUCUUGAAACUCUCCCAUAGAGCCUCUAGAAGCCAGGACUGGGUUGCCUCGGGCCAAACAACUACCAGGCAGGGGGCACAACCCCACCCAUCAGCAGAUAAUUGGAUUAAAGCUUUAUUGAGCAAGACUCUGCCCACCAGAGCAAGACCCAGUUUUUCCUACUGCCAGUCCCUUCUGUCAGGAAGCUUACACAAGCCUCUUAGCCUCCACCAUCAGAGGGCAGACAGAAAAAGCAAGAAGAACCACAGUACCACCACAGCUAAAAACCACAUUAGAGAAAGUUCAUCAGGAUGAAAAAGCAGAAAGUUAUGUACCAGAUGAAAGGACAACUAAGUGAACUGGAGUUAGGCAACCUUCCAGAAAAAAAUCCAGAAUAAUGAUAGGCAGAAUGGUGGAUAUCACUGCUGCAGAACAGACUAUAGGAAAAAAGAAUGAAAAGAAAUGAGCACAGGCUAAGAGACCUCUGGGACAACAUUAAGCACACCAACAUUUGCAUUAUAGGUGUCUCAGAGGAGAAGAGAGAGAGAAAGGACCUGAGAGAACAUUUGAAGAGAUAAUUGCUGUAAACUUCCCUAACAUGAGAAAGGAAAUAGUCAGCAAAGACCAGGAAGCACAUAGUCCCAGGCAGGAUAAACCCAAGGAGGAACACACUGAGACACAUAGUAAUAAAACUGACAAAAAUUAAAGACAAAGAUAAAGUAUUAAAAGCAACAAGGGAAAAAUGACAAAUAACAUACAAGGGAACUCCCAUCAGACUAUCAGCUAAUUACUGAACAGAGCUCUACAAGCCAAAAAGGAAUGGCAUGAUAUAUUUAAAAUAACCAAAAGGGAGAAACCACAAUCAGGCAAGACUCUCAUUCAGAUUUGAUGGAGAAAUCAAAAGCUUUCCAGACAAGCAAAAGUUAAGAGAAUUCAGCACCACCAAAACAGCUUUACAACAGAUACUAAGGGAACUUCUCUAGGCAGGAAACAGAAGAGAAGGAGAAGAUCUACAGAAAAUGAACCUGAAACAGUUAAGAAAACACUAAUGGGAUCACAUACAUUGAUAGUUACCUUAAAUAUAACUGGAUUAAAUGCACCAACCAAAAGACAUAGACUGGCUGGGCAGAUGGAAAUAUAUGCAUGUAUGCACUUUACUUCCCACAUCACACUGCUUGACCACACCCCUCAGACUGUAUGUGAUUAUUUUAUAUUGUAGGUUAAUCAUGUUCCCAUUAUGGCUUGCAGUUGUAAUUAUCUUUUAUUUUUUGUCUAGCUAUUGAUUGUAAAAACUGAUAAACAUCAUUUACUAUUGUGAUUGUGUAGCUAUUACUCUGGAGAAGGCAAUGGCACCCCACUCUGGUAUUCUUGCCUCGAAAUCCCCAUGGGCGGAGGAGCCUGGUAGGCUGUGUAGUCCAUGGGGUUGCUAAGAGCUGGACAUGACUGAGCGACUUCACUUUCACUUUUCAGUUUCAUGCAUCGGAGAAGGAAAUGGCAACCCACUCCAGUGUUCUUGCCUGGAGUAUCCCAGGGAAGGGGGAACCUGGUGGGAGGCUGUCUGUGGGGUCACACAGAGUUGGACACGACUGAAGGACUUAGCAACUAUUACUCAGUUAAUACCAUAGUUCAUGAUUGGUUAAUAGAAAAAUAACAGAAAUCUAUAUCACCAAAACUGCUAUUAAAAGAAAAAUCUGUAAUCACUUUUUAAAAUCCAGAUGCAUAUCAGAAUUAUCUUGGAAUGUUUUGAAAAAUACAAAUGCCCAGGUAUUGCUUUUUUUUCUCCAGAGCUCCAGAUAUGUUUCUAAUGAACAGCCAUGUUUUAAAACAACUGGGCUAUGUGAUGAUCUUUCACUUUUACCAAGUUUGUUUCGCCUUUUCUGUUUAGUAUUAAGUGCUCCCGUUUCAUUUGGUUUAUGUUUUCCAAUUUCUCUAUCUCUUCUUUUUUUUAAAAUGUUCUUUGUUAGGCCUUU